AUGCUUUUUAGAAUAGUUUUUCCCUUAUUUUUUCUUUUGAAAGGAAGAGAGGAGGGAAUUUAAUGUGUUAUAGAGUAUUUUGUACAGGUUGGAGAAAAAGAGUUAGCCAAAUUUUGAAGAAAAGAAGGAAAAAUCGGACUCAUAGUGCUGUAGUGCGCCCGACCGGCGAGGGAGGAAGCAAAUUUGGGAUCUUAAACUCGCCCAACCGGGCGCGAGAGGAACUCCAUAUACGAGCAAAAUUUGCCCGACCGGGCGCGAGAGAAAGAAGGAUUUUGGCCUAUAAUUCGCAUGGCAAUUUGGUUGAGUUUUUGUUAUUUUAGUUUUCAAAUUAGGGCUUUGGUUGAUUGUGGUUAUGGGUAUCCGAUUUUUAGUUGUUUUUAGAUGGAUUUUUGGUUGUUUUCAGAUGGAUUUGUUGUGGGAUGCAAUUCCUUGUUAUUUUUGUUGUGGUUUUGCAUACCUGAUUGGUUGAACUCUUCACUCUGGUCUACGCCUCCUCCUUCUUCGUUUGCUACCACCAUCUCUCUCCUCCGCCCAUCGUCCUCCCUCCGUUGCCGGUUCGACCUCCAUCCCCACCUCCUCCGCCGCCGGACUCCAAUGGCACUUCCACUUCCUCUGCUUCUCCUUCUCCUACCCCCGAGGAGAUCUCUCGCCAUGCUCAGCUCUCACUCGAGCUGUCGAAGAAGAUCAUCAACAUCAGAGAAAUCAGGAGGUUAGCAUCCAUGGGUCUUCCUGAUGCUCCUGCCAUCCGCUCUACUGUCUGGAAGCUUCUGCUGGGGUAUUUGCCCAGUGAUCGAGCAAUGUGGCCCUCCGAAUUAGCCAACAAGACGUCUCAAUACAACCAUUUCAAGGAUGACCUCUUGAUGUCUCCCGUUCUUGCUGAAAAAGCUUAUCUUGUGGGUGUGGAGCAAAAAGGUAUUAAAGUGGAUUCUUUUGGAAUAGAAGAAUCUCUGAAAGAAUUGGCUCAACUAGCUGACACAGCAGGUUUUCAGGUUGUUGGCUCUACUUAUCAAAAGCUUGCUGCUCCAAAUCCAAGAACUUAUAUUGGCUCAGGCAAGGUUUCUGAGAUCAAGAGUGCAAUUCAUGCAUUUGAUGUUGAAACAGUGAUAUUUGAUGAUGACCUCUCACCAGGGUAAGAAUGAAACACUUUUUUAUUCAGAAACUGAUAGUUGGUGUACAUGCAUUGUCUAGCUAUCAACAUUUCACUAGUAGAAAAAUUGAAAUAGGCACCCCCCCUUUUAGCACCGGUUCGUAUCUGGUUAUGAAUCUAAAUGUCGUAUGAUAUACACAUUGAGACUCAUAAGUAAAGUUCAUUGAAAAAACAUAUUAUUUAGUUACAUGAAUAUACAAAAAAAUAUGGGAGACCAUGUAUGAAUUCUAUAUCCUUUGAAAAUGGGGUUGGGCAGAGUAUCCACCGGUCUGAGAUGGCGUAGAAGAUUAAAAUUGCUUAUAGCCUGUCAACAAGGAACAUUAUGUGAUAUAACAAUUGGCAUUGCUAAUUUUAACUAUUGAUUGAAUUAGCUCUGUGGGGUAAGUUGUUUGUGUUAGUUUAGAAUUUCUCUUAAUAUUAAAUAUAUGUCUUGCCUGCAUCAAUCAUUUAUUUCAAGUCCAGGCGGUUCUGACAGUGAGUCACUAGUAAAUAACCGCUUACAGUCUUGGGAUUGCUCCAGCCCUUCAUGUAUAGAACACACUCUUUUUGGAAUGGAUAUAUUUGAACAAAUGAAUUGCUAUAGUUGUCAUUUGGAGUCCAGGCAUAUGAAGUACACUUCUUUUUUCAUCACAUUAAUGCAAGUGCCCUGCGAACAAUGAAGGUCUUUCUGCUACAAUGGAAGUCUGCAUAGUCUACUUUGAUAUCAUGAGACCAUGAGACCAGCAGAACAACAGUAGCAGUGCAGAACCAGGACAACAGUACCAGUGCAGACAGAAGACACUCAGCAGCCAGAAACCUUGGACACUUCAAAAAAAUUUAGACGAAAAUUGUAAUAUUUUAGCCUUUUUCAAUGAAAUAAUGUAACUUUAUAUAUAUGUUAAUGU